GACGGAGGAUGGAAGCGUUAUCCGGAAUUAUUGGGCGUAAAGCGUCCGCAGGUGGCGAUUUAAGUCUGCUGUCAAAAACCACAGCUUAACUGUGGGCAGGCAGUGGAAACUGGAUUGCUAGAGUGCGGCAGGGGUAGAGGGAAUUCCCAGUGAAGCGGUGAAAUGCGUAGAUAUUGGGAAGAACACCAGUGGCGAAGGCGCUCUACUGGGCCGCAACUGACACUCAUGGACGAAAGCUAGGGGAGCUAAUGGG
rnacentral:rRNA from 1 species